CGUGCCUACGGGGGGCAGCAGUGAGGAAUAUUGGUCAAUGGGCGAGAGCCUGAACCAGCCAAGUCGCGUGAAGGAUGACGGCCCUAUGGGUUGUAAACUUCUUUUGUCAGGGAGCAAUUGAGUCCACGUGUGGGCUUAGCGAGAGUACCUGAAGAAAAAGCAUCGGCUAACUCCGUGCCAGCAGCCGCGGUAAUACGGAGGAUGCGAGCGUUAUCCGGAUUUAUUGGGUUUAAAGGGUGCGUAGGCGGUUCGAUAAGUUAGAGGUGAAAUCCCGGGGCUCAACUCCGGCACUGCCUCUGAUACUG
rnacentral:rRNA from 1 species